ACGAUGAACCACUUCGGUGGGGAUUAGUGGCGAACGGGUGAGUAACACGUGGGCAAUCUGCCCUUCACUCUGGGACAAGCCCUGGAAACGGGGUCUAAUACCGGAUAACACUCCCGCACUCAUGUGCGGGGGUUAAAAGCUCCGGCGGUGAAGGAUGAGCCCGCGGCCUAUCAGCUUGUUGGUGAGGUAAUGGCUCACCAAGGCGACGACGGGUAGCCGGCCUGAGAGGGCGACCGGCCACACUGGGACUGAGACACGGCCCAGACUCCUACGGGAGGCAGCAGUGGGGAAUAUUGCACAAUGGGCGAAAGCCUGAUGCAGCGACGCCGCGUGAGGGAUGACGGCCUUCGGGUUGUAAACCUCUUUCAGCAGGGAAGAAGCGAAAGUGACGGUACCUGCAGAAGAAGCGCCGGCUAACUACGUGCCAGCA
rnacentral:rRNA from 1 species